rnacentral:rRNA from 1 species
UGGGGAAUAUUGGACAAUGGGGGGAACCCUGAUCCAGCCAUGCCGCGUGUGUGAAGAAGGCCUUAUGGUUGUAAAGCACUUUAAGCGAGGAGGAGGGUACUGGUAUUAAUACUACCAGCUACUGGACGUUACUCGCAGAAUAAGCACCGGCUAACUCUGUGCCAGCAGCCGCGGUAAUACAGAGGGUGCGAGCGUUAAUCGGAUUUACUGGGCGUAAAGCGUCCGUAGGCGGCUAAUUGAGUCGGAUGUGAAAUCCCCGAGCUUAACUUGGGAAUUGCAUUCGAUACUGGUUAGCUAGAGUGUGGGAGAGGAUGGUAGAAUUCCAGGUGUAGCGGUGAAAUGCGUAGAGAUCUGGAGGAAUACCGAUGGCGAAGGCAGCCAUCUGGCCUAACACUGACGCUGAGGUACGAAAGCAUGGGGAGCAAACAGG